AUUGAACGCUGGCGGCAGGCCUAACACAUGCAAGUCGAGCGGAUGAAGGGAGCUUGCUCCUGGAUUCAGCGGCGGACGGGUGAGUAAUGCCUAGGAAUCUGCCUGGUAGUGGGGGAUAACGUCCGGAAACGGGCGCUAAUACCGCAUACGUCCUGAGGGAGAAAGUGGGGGAUCUUCGGACCUCACGCUAUCAGAUGAGCCUAGGUCGGAUUAGCUAGUUGGUGGGGUAAAGGCCUACCAAGGCGACGAUCCGUAACUGGUCUGAGAGGAUGAUCAGUCACACUGGAACUGAGACACGGUCCAGACUCCUACGGGAGGCAGCAGUGGGGAAUAUUGGACAAUGGGCGAAAGCCUGGUCCAGCCAUGCCGCGUGUGUGAAGAAGGUCUUCGGAUUGUAAGGCACUUUAAGUUGGGAGGAAGGGCAGUAAGUUAAUACCUUGCUGUUUUGACGUUACCAACAGAAUAAGCACCGGCUAACUUCGUG
rnacentral:rRNA from 1 species